AUACCUGAGGAACAAGAGGGAGAAGAACUUGACUUGGCCGCCUAAGAGGGGCAGCUAGUACAGCUGUAGGACAAGCCAUGGGUUAGAUCUUUCCUGAUGCCCAAGUGCAAUUUUGGAUCCAGCCAGGCCCCACAGUUGGCGUCAUCAUGCCUCUAAGCAAGAACCCAGUCUUCCACCCCCCACCAGUCCCCAGCCUCAGAGAUCCUGUAUUCAAGCCUCACUGCCUUGCCCUCCACCAUGCCACCCCCCGUCUUUCAUCUAUACUGCAGCAACAGCCCCCUAACCGGUCUCCAGGCUCCCACUGCUGGCUCCCUACAAUCCACUCUCUUUAAUCACAUUUGAUUGCUCUUAGUACUGAGACCUGCAAGGCCCCCUCCUACUUGAUCUGGCCCUGCCCACCUCUGUCCCUGCUGUAACCCCAUCUCUACACACCAGCUACACUGGCCUUUUAUUCUGCCAUCAGGCUUGUCCCAUCAUGGGCCUUUGGAUCUGAGAGCCCUCUGCCUGGAAUCUUCUGCCUGCUCCAGAUCUCUGAAGAGCUGACUCUUCCUUCAGGUGUUAGUUAGCUCACAUGUCAUUUCCUCAGAGAGGUUCCCUUGACCACUCUUUCUAAAGUAUAGCACCCAUCCUCAGGCAUGCUCUCUAACACAAUAUGCUGCUUUAUUCUUUCUUAAUUGCUUUUUCAGAGUAUGGGUCACAAUUUGAUCUUUCGUGUGUAACCGCUGUGCGCUUCACUGCCUCAACACACUGGAAUGUAAAUUUUGCUAGUCUUGCCCAUUACCAUACAACCGGGGCUUAGGACAGUGCCUGGACACCUGAAGGCACUCAACUGUUUUCUGAAUAAGGGAAUGAUACAUGCAAACGCUCUACUUUCACAUAUAUUAACUCACAUAACUCUCACAAGACUCAAAGGUUCAGAGGCUUGCAUCAGAUCACAGAUUAGAGGCUGCUGCAUCAAAACUCAAACCCAAGUUGCUGACUCCAAGGCCCGGUACUGUCUACUGUGAAGUAGCUGCUGAGGACACAAGCAUUCUGCCCUUGUGUGCCUUGACCUACCUUUCUAAACCUUCAGUCCCACCCCCGUUUUGAUCCCCACCAGAAUCCAGGCCCCAUAGCAGCCUUACGUGUCAAUGAUGUACUUGAUGUUGUCAUGCAGAGUGACGUCAUCCCGGCCCUUAUAGGGUUGGAUGUGGAAGGCCACCUGCCACAGACAGAGGAGAUACCGGUCAGGCUAAUGCCAAGAACUAACCCUGCGGGCAGAGAGGGGGAAAUCUGAAUGGGCCAAAGAGCACCUGACCUCUUCUUGGAGACUCACCUGGAUGUUGUGCUGAUGGGCGGUGUCGAGAAUGGCGGGCACCAGGUCAUCUGAGGGUUCCCCGUUAUCAUCAGCCAUGCCAGGUGGGUACCAGGACAGGACCAGGACGCCUGAGACACAACACAGAAGCUACUUCAGAGACACAGAGUACCCAUGCGACGCAGAUGUGUUUCCUCACAAGCCAUCUCCAACUGCAAAAUGGUUUCUGCCUGAAACCUUGAGCGGGGCUCUGGCAGGCCAGGUUUACUUCCUGCAGAUCAGAUCCCAGAGCCUAACGUCCUGGAGCUGUCCACGCCCGCGGUGCUGAAGCGAGGCGGCAGCGGGAACCUUUGCGCACCAGGCCGAGAAGGAGCCUGACAAAAGCCUGAGUAGGACUCGUCUUUCUCUUGCAUUCCCAAGGAGUAGAACAAAGGGAAAUGGGUGCAUAACACCACACCCAUCUGGAAGCCACAGUCCUGUCUCUGGAGGAAAGGGGCACAUCUAAGGUCCCGCGAGAAGAGUCCCAAGCCGAGGUCAUCUUAUCCUUCCCACAGGAAAUAACGUUUGUCUCGACCAUUGGCCUCCCUAGACUAUAAGAUGCUGAGGGAUGGCCUCUGUGUUAUUUAUCUGUGAAUGCCUCCCAUCAUUGUCUCUGGCAUUCAAUUUCUCCCCAUUCAUUAGCCAUCUCUAGAUAAAUUGAAAUGUGUUGUAAAAUCCA